AGCGAACGCUGGCGGCAGGCCUAACACAUGCAAGUCGAACGCCCCUUCGGGGGCGUGGCGGACGGGUGAGUAACGCGUGGGAAUGUGCCCUUUGGUACGGAACAACUGAGGGAAACUUCAGCUAAUACCGUAUGUGCCCUACGGGGGAAAGAUUUAUCGCCAUUGGAGCAGCCCGCGUUGGAUUAGGUAGUUGGUGGGGUAAUGGCCCACCAAGCCGACGAUCCAUAGCUGGUCUGAGAGGAUGAUCAGCCACACUGGGACUGAGACACGGCCCAGACUCCUACGGGAGGCAGCAGUGGGGAAUCUUGCGCAAUGGGCGAAAGCCUGACGCAGCCAUGCCGCGUGAAUGAUGAAGGUCUUAGGAUUGUAAAAUUCUUUCACCGGGGAAGAUAAUGACGGUACCCGGAGAAGAAGCCCCGGCUAACUUCGUG
rnacentral:rRNA from 1 species